rnacentral:piRNA from 1 species
UGUUUGAUAGUGCAGUGGGUGCUGUGC